AGAUGUUCAAAUCCAGGUCAUGAUUUGUUGGGUUUUGCUGGUGAAGCACUUUCUUGUAUUCGACUGUGAAGUUGUCAAGCUCUUCCGAUUUCGGAAUAUGAGGUUUUACACCUAUAACUCCUUGCAUAUCUUCUUCCAUAACUGAACGAUCAAUUGAAUUUAACUCGUUUGUCAUGCCAUCAGUGAUGAUCCACGAGUAAUCUUCGCUCAUCAUUCCCAGUAGUUUAGCUUUGGUGAAUAGGCGAGAACCAAGACCAGUCAGCAUGUGGACAAUGAAAAUUCUAGUUUGCAUUGUCAUAAGCUUGUAAAGCUCUGCAACAAUCUCAUCAUCUGUUGCUGAUGAUGGGAUGGCACUCCUGUAAGGUAUGCGCACAUUUACCUGUUCCAAGGCAUCUGCUAAAUAUGGUAUAAUCCCUUCUCCAAAUUCAUUGUCCACAUAGAUUGGCACAACUUCUCUCCAUCCAAAGGCUUGAACUAUUGCAGCUAUGGCCUUUACUUGGGAAGAGUCGCUUAAGGCAGCGCGAACAAAGUAUGGACUUCGGAUUGACAAGAGAGACGGGCUUGAGGCUGAAAAUGUUAUGAUCGGUACUUGAGACUUAUUACCUAGAUUUAUCAUAAAAUUUGCCUGCAUCGAGGACAAUGGACCUAUGAUUGCUUGCACUUCAACAUUCUUCAGUAGAUCUAGAGCUGCAUUUCAUAAUUUCAUUGCAAGAAAAUUAUCAGUUUCUGUUCCUUGUGAGCAUGCUUUCUAUCAUGGAAGGAAUGCAAAUAAAUUGUUAUCUGUCAUUUUACUAUUAAAAUGUGAAUGCAAGUUCCCCCUAACUUAUCAUACAUGUCUGAUUAUCGCAGCUACAUAUAUAUGGUGCAGCGAAGAUAUGUCAAUUGAAGAAAAUAGAUGAAGUAAGUAAAGUUUUUCCCUUGUUCAAUUCAAAGUCAUCUCUUAAGUCUUAACUAGAUCACAAUUUCAUUAAACUUGCACGUUUAAUAAGUAUAUGUUCGCGAGUAGCAUUACCUGCAGCAGCUGCCCCAACGAUGUCUCUCUCGGAGUCCCUCUUGUUGAGAAGCAGCCGAGUCCGGUAGUGGCCAUUUCUGGUGUAGAAAUCCGAGAGCGCCAUUGUGAUGCACUUCAACCCCAUUUUUCCGACAUAGUUGUCCAUGUCUAGCACCACUCCAACUCUCACAGGGAAAGGCGUGCUCUGCGCCGGGCGCUAUUCAUGGACAAAGUGUUCAACAAGAGAGCCAAGACAACCAGAGGAGCCUCCAACUUCAUCUUGUGCAAAAUUUUCAGAUCUCAGAAUUCAUGUGUUGAUGAUUAUUUUGGGCAUAGUUACCGGUUAUAUAUGCGUCAACAGUCACAUCCACAUAUGGAAACAAAGAAAAUUAGUAUAAUCAGCUGUGUAAUUUUAUUUUUUAUUUAGAAGUAGGGAAAAUGAGGACCGUGGAUAUCAGUCCACAAAGGGACGUCGAAUACUUUGUCUCAUAGCAAUUUUGGAGAGGUAUUUGCAUGGUCGUUUUAGUCUAUAAGUUACGUGUGUCAACAUAAUAUUGUUGAUUGUUACAUUGAAAUCUAUUUGCGAGGGGUUAUUAGAACGAAUUUUUUAUUUUUUUUGAAAUUUAAGAUGACUUUUAUUUUUAGCCUAUAAAUACACGAACUUAGCAUUUUUUUUUUUUUGACAUCGACAUGAAAAAACUCUAUUUAUUGUUGAGGUGGAGGUCGGAAUACAUGACGUGGACUACGAAAUAUAUAUGCACUUAAAUAGAGUAAUUUGAUUCAUUGUUUUGAUUAGAGAGUGAAUGAUAUGGUAUAUCGACCUUCACGUUAAUAGUAAAUUAAAAUUUUUUCUUAUGAAUGUCAAAAAUCAGAAAAAAUGCUAAGUUCGUGUAUUUGUGAGUUAAAAAUAAAAAUCAUGUUAAAUUUCAGAAAAUAUAAAAAGUUCGUAUAUUUACAAGCUAAUUAACCCAUUUGUGAGAGAGAAUGCGUGAUGCAAUUUUCCUGAUAUAGAGUAAGAUUUUUGGCAACACGAAUCGUUGUUAAAUACUGUCAGACAUGAAAAGUCGUUAGUCUUGUUUGCAGAUAAAGCGACAAAAAAAGAUUUUUUCGAAUGCAUUGACUACUGUUUAGUUGGCGUUUACUUUGACUUUUUCAAGCCUUUAAUAUAGGGAUGCUUUUCAAACUUCUCUUCCUGAGGAAAGAUGCUAACCAAUUGCUCAAAAAUAUGACAUAUGAAAUAGAAAGAAAAUGAAAAGCAAAAGAUAAUUAAUGAUGAGAAGGUGAGGUUAUGAAAGGAUAUAACCGAUCAUUUACCCACCGUAAGCAAGAAUAAUAUGUCCACCACUGAUGUGGCAAUGUUAUUUAGAAAGGAGAAUUAAUAAAUCUUCCUCUAAUUAAAAUUAUCUUACUCUACUUACAAUUGUCACUACAAUUGUCACAUUAGUGGUGGGCACGUUAUAUUUGCCCACGGUGGAUAAGUGAUCGGUGGGUAGGAAGGAGACAACCAAGUAGUUUGGAAUUCUUUCCUCUAAAAACGUAAUUUGGAUUUCUUCGAUACAGUUAUCCCUCGUCUCAUUAUAAUUGUCCCAAAAUUUUAGGCACGAGAAUUAAAAAAAAAAAGUGACGAUUAAUUUAGGUUAGAGGCGGAUCCAUAAAUUUUCAUUAGCUAGGGCUGAAUUUGUUAAAGUAUGACAUCUGAAAGUAUUUAUACGAGGGUUUCGGGGGCGGAGUCUCGAGCCAAGUUUUUUAGCAUUCGUGCAGUUCAUUUUUAUGUCAAAGAAUAAUCUUAAUUGGCUUCGGAUUAGAACUCAAAUCACUAUAUAAAAAUAGUUGUUCCAUUCCAUUAAUAAAACAAUACAUUAAAUACAUAUAAAGACGUACCUUUAUGCAUUUAAAAAAACUGUCAUAUCUUUAAAAAAUAAAUUAAUUUUCAUUAUUAAUAAUUCAUAAUUUUACUUUAACUUGAAGAUUGACUCAAAUUCAACAUUGAAAUUCAACUUAUAAAAGGGAAAUGAGAUAAAAUAACACAAAUAUAAUAAAUCCCUAUAAAAUAUUAAGUAAUAUAAUAAAUCCCUAUAAAUUUAAUAAAUUCAAUAUUAAGUUUUGCUCUGCAACCUUCUUAAUCUUUGUAUCUAUGCUAGCAUGCAUAAGGUUUUGGGAAUACAUAUGUUACAUGUUUGUUGCCUGAACCGCUGCAAGUUCUUGAUUUUGCCUUAGUGAGUUUCCUGCGUCAUGUUGAUGCUGAUUGCUGGUUUUGGAAACGAUGAACUAGCUCGACUUCUUGUUGUAUCACGUUAGACUCUUCUCCUUCAUGCCGUAUCAGUGAUGCAUCCUGCUCGACUCGCAAUUCUACGCUGUGCACUUGCGCUUCAGAACUUGAGGAAACAGGACUUGGUGGGCCAUUGUUGCCUGGAGAGAUCUCCGCGAAGGUUGAUGGGCUUGGAUGGGAACGCCCAUUGGAAGGUUCCGUCACUCUUCGUUCGGAGUUCUCUUUGUUGUUGAACCUUUGGAAUAACUCUAGUGAUUUGCUUCCUAGUGUCGCCUCUGCAUCAGAGCCACGCACAACUUCCCAAUUCUCGUAUAGGAACCUUAUCACAUAGAUCACCAAGACUAAAGCUCCAGCUAUUCCUACAAUAAUGAAGAGCCCCCAGAAACUUUCUAGCCCAAGACUGCCUGAUGAGGAAACGUCACUAGAGUUUGCACAUUUGGUAUUGUUUUCAAACCAUUUCUUCUCAAUCUCCAUCAUCUUCUUUCCCUCGGUAACAUUUAAUAUCGCCCGUGAAAUAUCAGGUACUAGUGGAGAUCCUUCUCUUUUUUUAUUAAUUAACCCAAUUAAUAAAUAAAUUGUUUUCAAAAAUGAAAUAGUUUAGUGCCCCCAAAUUACCACAAGUAACACUGUGUAAUUCGUAAGAGUAAUGUUGAUAGGAAUGUUAAACAACAAAAUGUUAAUAACAUUGAAACCAACAUGCAGCGGAAAUUAAAGAACACACAUGAAUACUUUUUCACGGGCCGUUAUAUAAAUACAACCCGUGAGUGCCUCAUGGCUAAAUUCACUAUGAUCAUCAACNCAGGCGGUGGUUGGGUUGUGCCGGAGAAGCCCAGGCGGCGGUUGGUUUCCUUUUAGUGUGGUCGAGGAGUUCUUCAAUUUUCUAUUUUUAUUUGUUGUUUUUAUGAAAUUGUUAAUAGCCAAAAAAUUACCACCGUGUUAUACCCGUGGCUUGCCACGACGUCGUAUUAUACGCGUGGCUUGCCACCGUGUUUAAAAAAGCCACGCGUAAUGCCACGUCUUUAAAAAAAAUUACCACGUCAUCGCCGGUCAAACAUAGUUGUGGUCGGAAAUUUCGCCGGAUGCAAUUUGCGACUAAAUUAAAAGGUGGUGUAUUAUGGGGCUAUUUUUGAAGGUCGUGUGCAAUAUGCAAUUCCGAUGAAAGUUCGUGUAUUUUCUGGCUAUUAACCCUAUUAAUAAUUCAUAAUUUUACUUUAACUUGAAGAUUGACUCAAAUUCAACAUUGAAAUUCAACUUAGAAAAGGGAAAUGAGAUAAAAUAACACAAAUUUAAUAAAUUAAUAUAAUAAAUCCCUAUAAAAUAUUAAGUAAUAUAAUAAAUCCCUAUAAAUUUAAUACAUUCAAUAUUAAGUUUUGCUCUGCAACCUUCUUAAUCUUUGUAUCUAUGCUAGCAUAAGGUUUUGGGAAUACAUAUGUUACAUGUUUGUUGCCUGAACCGCUGCAAGUUCUUGACUUUAUGCGGUGCUAAGAAUGAAUGCCAUUUCUAGGAGCCAACUGCCUUGGUGAGUUUCCUGCAUCACGUUGAUGCUAAUUGCUGGUUUUGGAAACGAUGAACUAGCUCGACUUCUUGUUGUAUCACGUUAGACUCUUCUCCUUUGAUGCCUUAUCAGUGAUGCAUCCUGGUCGACUCGCAAUUCUACGUUGUGCGCUUGCGCUUCAGGACUUGGUGGGCCAUUGUUGCCUGGUGAGUUCUGCGAGAAGGUUGAUGCAUCACUCUUCUCACACAAUCACAUCCGCACCAUUCUGAUUCUCUCUUGUUUGGAGUUUUGAAAGCGUGGAAAGUGAGGUCUUUGCUGUUGAACCUUUGGAAUAACUCUAGUGAUUUGCUUCCUAGUGUUGCAUCUGCAGCCGAGUCCGAGCAACGCCAGUUUUCAUAUAGGAACCUCAUCACAUAGAUUAAAAAGGCUGAAGCUCCAGCUAUUCCUACAAUCAUGAAGAGCCCCCAGAAGCUUUCCAGCCCAAGACUGCCUGAUGAGGAAAGUACUAGAGUCUGCACAUUUGGUAUCGUUUCAAACCAUUUCUUUUCAAUCUCCAUCAUCUUCUUUCCCUCGUAACAUUAUAUCGCCUGAAAUAUCAGGUACAGUGGAGAUCCAUAGGAAACACCUGCAUGACUUGUAUAUCAAUGAAUAAUAUAUAUACAUCAAGGAAAGACAAGGGAUGAAUUACAUACAAAGCCAAAACCACUGUCUUGUACGUAGGGCCAACCAUGUAUUUUGACAGUAUUGGCUUGGAAAAGCUUCAUAUAUGGUAUCUCAUCAAAAGCAGCAGCUAUACCACCAUUUGCACUGCCUUUUCUGAAAAGCUCAUCCAUUUCCUCGGGAAAGUUAUACGCCACAAGUCUGGAUUCAUCAAAGUUCAUACUUUUCAAAAGCCCCAAAAAAAGAUCCAUUAUGGUAACCAACAUUUUCUUUGUUUCUUAUAAGCUCAUUCACAUCUGUGAUGGCGGGUCGCAGCUCUUGGACUGUCAACAUGGAAGUAAGACUAGCUGUGUAGCUUUGCGUUAGUAUCAAAACCACCAGGAACCAUAGAAUCAGCAGAAACCUAGACAAGUUGCUUAUCACCCUCUCCUCUACAAAAGCGAAUCAAAGGAAAUCACGUGUUAGAUUAAUGUAAUGUAUGUCUACUGCUGGCAACAAUUAUGACUUACUGUGUGCGAACGCUAUUGUUGAGAAGGCAAACCAGAAUAUCGUGCCAACUUGAUGCCACAGAGGGCCCCUGAAGUCUUCAUUAAUCCGACGUUCAAGAAUCCAAAUAAGGAAGCCCAUGAAAACGAAUGAGGAAAAGCUUGUCAACCAAAGUUUCCAUGUCAGUGGCCUUAAAAAUACCCAUGCGUUUUUGCUCUUGUCGUUUUUGAUCGCUACAACCAUUGAAACACCAGACUCUGUAUAAGGCAGGGUGAAGUCGACAUACUUUGUCCUAUUUGCUACGAUAGUUACAUCUCCAACCGCAGCAUCAAAUUUCUGCCCAGGACUAUAAAAGGUUAUGUAUCUAAACAAGUAACAUACUAAAUGUGUGCUGUGUGGUUUUUGAAUCAUCAAAUCGUUAAUGGAAAAUAUACUUACUCCUUGGGAUACUGCACAGACCAACUCAUUGUAAGAACCGGCUUUCGUGUGGUCAGAUCUAGCAAAAGGAACAUACUCAUACUGCACGCCAUAUGGUAGUGCUUCUAUCACCAUAUCAAAAACUCCUUGCAGUAACCUCACUUUGUAGAAUUGUUGGAGUUCCAAGUACAUCAGAACUCAGAAACCACUUUACGGUACUCCUAUUUCAACUUCUUCCAUUGUCGGAAGACCCAACCCUUGGGUGGAACUUCCAUCCCUGGCCAAUAUGUCCAUGUUGGACUUGGUGGAGUAAUUUUGGAGAUUUGCAAAUUGAGCUUCUAACAAUUCCAUUAUCUUUUGUCCAAUAUCCUACAACUCGAGUCUGCACCAUCACAUUGACUAUCUGUAGGAGGGAUGGAGUUGUCCUCAACUAGUUUAAAUCUCCAGCAAGGCCUCUGAAAGUGUACUUGACAACGCCUGAAUGAGAUCAGUUCCAACGCCCGAGACUCCAAAGCCUUCAAGAUCUGUUGAUGUUGUGACAUUUGCCUUCUUCAGAAUGUAGCAUUUCUUAUUCUUGCCUUUUCUACUGCCAUUGCUAAUGCACGCGAGUCAUAGCCCAGAGUCCAAGAUGUUCAAAUCCGGGUCAUGAUUUGUGGGUUUUGCUGGUGAAGCUCUUUCUGUAUUUGACUCUGAAGUUGUAAGCUCUUCGAUUUUGGAAUAUGUGGUUUUACACCUAUAACUCCUUGCAUAUCUUCUUCCAUAACUGAACGAUCAAUUGAAGCUAACUCGUUUGUCAUGCCAUCAGUUAUGAUCCACACAUAGUCUUCACUCAUCAUUCCCAGUAGUUUAGCUUUGGUGAAUAGGCGAGAACCAAGAGUCGUCCGCAUGUGGACAAUGAAAACUCUAGUUUGGUAUGUCAUCAGCUUGGAAAGCUCUGCAUCAAUUGCUCAUCUGUCGCGAAUGUGGAUGACACUCCUGUAAGGUAUGUGCACAUUUACCGUUCCAAGGCGUCUGCUAAAAAUGGCAUAAUCCCUUGUCCAAACUCAUUAUCCACAUAGAUGGCACAACCUCUCUCCAUCCAUAGGCUUGACUAUUGCAGCUAUGGCCUUUACCUGGGAAGAGUCGCUUAAGGCAGCACGAACAAAGUAUGGACUUUGGAUUGACAAGAGAGACGGGCUUGUGGCUGAAAAGGUUAUGAUCGGUACUUGAGACUUAUUACCUAGAUUUAUCAUAAAAUUUGCCUGCAUUGAGGACAAUGGACCUAUGACCGCUUGCACUUCAACAUUCUUCAGUAGAUCUAGAGCUGCAUUUCAUAAUUUCAUUGCAAGAAAAUUAUGUCAGAUUACAAAUUUCCGCAUUGCAUUAGACAAAGGUAUGACAUUUUGAUCUUGAUUUUAUUUUCCAACUCCAAGUUUUAUGGCGAUUAAGCUGUACUGUUGAAACUAUUAGUAGAACAUAAACCAUCAGUUUCUGUUGCUUGUGACUUGUGAGCAUGCUUUCUAUCAUGGAAGGAAUGCAAAUAAAUUGUUAUCUGUCAUUUUACUAUUAAAAUGUUGUAAUGCAAGUUCCACCUAACUUAUCAUACAUGUCUGAUUAUCGCAGCUACAUAUAUACGGUGCAGCGAAGAUAUGUCAAUUGAAGAAAAUAGAUGAAGUAAGUAAAGUUUUUCCUUGUUCAAUUCAAAGUCAUCUCUUAAGUCUUAACUAGAUCACAAUUUCAUUAAACUUGCACGUUUAAUAAGUAUGUUCGCGAGUAGCAUUACCUGCAGCAGCUGCCCCAACGACGUCUCUCUCGGAGUCCCUCUUGUUGAGAACCAGCCGAGUCCGGUAGUGGCCAUUUCUGGUGUAGAAAUCCGAGAGCGCCAUUGUGAUGCAGUUCAACCCCAUUUUUCCGACAUAGUUGUCCAUGUCUAGCACCACUCCAACUCUCACAGGGAAAGGCGUGCUCUGCGCCGUGGCGCUAUUCAUGGACAAAGUGUUCAACAAGAGAACCAAGACAACCAGACGAGCCUCCAACUUCAUCUUGUGCAAAAUUUUCAGAUCUCAAAAUUCAUAUGUUGAUGAUUAUUUUGGGCAUAGUUACCAGUUAUAUAUGCGUCAACAGUCACAUCCACAGAUGGCAACAAAGAAAAUUAGUACAAUCAGCUGUGUAAUUUUUUUUUUUUUUGUGUCAACAUAAUAUUGUUCAUUGUUACAUUGAAAUCUGUUUGUGAGAGAGAAUGCGAGAUGAAAUUUUCCUGAUAUAUGCAUGAUAGUAAGAUUUUUGGCAACACGUAUCGUUAAAUACUGUCCACAUGAAAAGUCGUUAGUCUUGUUUUCAGAUAAAGCGACAAAAAAAGAUUUUUUUGAAUGCAUUGACUACUGUUUAGUUGGCGUUUACUUUGACUUUAUCAAGCCUUUAAUAUAAGGAUGCUUUUCAAACUUGUCUUCCUGAGGAAAGAUGCUAACCAAUUGCUCAAAAAUAUGACAUGAAAUAGAAAUAGAAAUAAAAUGAAAGCAAAACAUAAUUAAUGAGAAGGUGAGGUUAUGAAAGGAGACAACCAAGUAGUUUGGAGUUCUUUUCCUCUAAAAAAGUAGUUUGGACUUCUUUGAUAUAAUUAUCCCUCGUCUCAUUAUAAUUGUCUCAAAAUCUUAGACACAAGAAUAAUAAUAAAAAAAAACUAGUGUCAGUUAAUUAAGACUAGUAGGUUAGAGGCAGAUCCAUAAAUUGUCACUAGGAGGGGCUGAAUUUAUUAAAGUAUGACAUCUGAAAGUAUUUGUACAAGGAUUUCGAGGGCGGAGUCUCUGAACCAGAGUUUUUUGAGUAUUCCGUGCAAUUCAUUUUUAUGUCAAAGAAUAAUCUUAACUGACUUCGGAUUAGAACUCAAGUCACUUACUAUAAUAAAUAGUUGUUCGCAUUCUAUAUUUCUAUUACUAAAACAACAAGUUCAUUAAAUACAUAUAAAGACCUAAUAUUUAUGUAUUUUUAAAAAAAAGUUAUAUCUUUAAAAAAUAAAUUAAUUUUCAUUAUUAAUAGUUCAUAAUUUUACUUUAACUUGAAGAUUGACUCAAAUUCAACAUUAAAAUUCAACUUAGAAAGGGAAAUGAGAUAAAAUAGCACAAAGUUUAUAAAUUAAUAUAAUAAAUCCCAAUAAUAUAUUAAGUAAUUAAUGUGGAUACUACGAUUAUUAAAACAAUAUAUUAUAUUAUCUCUUAUGUUUUUUAUAUAUAAAAAUAAAAAAAAUAAAAAAAAACCUCAAAAAUUGGGAGGGGUGGUCUUCAGCCUUCCCUAACCCUCGGAUCUGUCACUGAGUAGGACACAUAUUUUUUGUACGAUUAAUUAUUAAUUUUUAUUAAAAUGAAACAAUAAUAAUGGAACAUUAAAAAAUAUAUAAUACUCCCUCGAUCUCAUUAAAAGUAACAUGUAUACCAUUUUGAAUCGUUCCCUUAUAAAAUUUAAGAAAUUUUUUAAAUCAAUUUACACCUUCCCCUUAAAUGAAUUUUUUUAAUAAAAAUGUUAAUCCUUUUUUUGAAACAAAAAAAUUAAUCCUUAAAAAAAUUAUAAUUCUUACCACUUUUAACCAAUUUACAUCUUUUAUUUUCAUAACUAAAUUUGUCCAUGUGAAGAUCUAUUUUACGUUAUUCUUCUUUUUUGAUAUUGAAAAAAAAAAUACCGUGAGGAAUCUUUGAAGUUGAUGUUUGUUUUCUCAUCAUCCAAAACUUCUUAAUAAUCGACUGAUCAAUCAACAGCUAACCUUCGAUAAUUUCAAAGGUAGAAUGAGAAAUUUUAGCAGCCAUCAAAGAAAAAAGGUUAGUAAAUGUUGUUUAUUCCACUUAUGUGCUGAUUGUAGUGUUCAUACUUGCGAGUUGAGUGAUUGUUGAAACUGGUGAGAUUGUAUGGAUGCCUAUAACAAGUUUGUUGAAAUGCCCAAACAAACGUAGAAAAAAAAAAAAAAAAACUCAGGAAAAUUAAUUUAGUUACGAGUCAAUUCUCCAUUCUGUUAUUUGUGAUCCUCUCUCCUUGCAUCUAAGUGCGAAUGUAAGGGACUUGCAGGGAGAAUGGCAUAAAUAUAUAUACAUAUAUGUCAUAUACAUCCUUAAAAAUGUUCAUUUUUCUAGGAAUUCGCCUCCUUCAAACUUAGAUGAGGAGCCGCCGUGAUAAGAGCAUUCUCAAAUAACUGUUACAGAAGAUAGUGGAAAGAUGUGAAGUUAAAAAGUGGAAGCUAUGAUCAUAGAAAUGCCGGUAAAUUUUGCUCUGCAACCUUGUUAAUGUUUGUAUCAAUGCUAGCAUAUGAUUAUGUUAAUACAUAUGUUACAUGUUUGUUGCCUGAACCGCUGCAAGUUCUUGACUUUAUUGUGCUAAGAAUGAAUGCCAUUUCUAGGAAGGAGCCAACUGCCUUAGUGAGUUUCCUGCGUCAUGUUGAUGCUAAUUGCUGGUUUUGGAAACGAUGAACUAGCUCGACUUCUUGUUGUAUCACGUUAGACUCUUCUCCUUCAUGCCUUAUCAGCGAAGCAUCCUGCUCGGCUCGAAACUGUAUGUAGUAGGCUUCAGGACUCGAGGAAAUAGGACUUGGCGGGCCAUUGUUGCCUGGUGAGUUCUGCGAGAAGGUUGAUGGGCUCGGAUGGAAAUACUCGUUGGAAGGUUCCAUCACUCUUCUUGCACAAUCACAUCCGCAAACAUUGUGAUUCUCUCUUUGUUUGGAGUUAUUGAACCUUUGGAAUAACUCUAGUGAUUUGCUUCCUAGUGUUGCCUCUGCAUCAGAGCGACGCACAACAUGCCAAUUCUCGUAUAGGAACCUUAUCACAUAGAUUACCAAGGCUAAAGCUCCAGCUAUUCCUACAAUCAUGAAGAGCCCCCAGAAGCUUUCUAGCCCAAGACUACCUGAUGAGGAAACGUCACUAGAGUCUGCACAUUUGGUAUCGUUUUCGAACCAUUUCUUCUCAAUCUCCAUCAUCUUCCUUCCCUCGGUAACAUUUAAUAUCGCUCGUGAAAUAUCAGGUACUAGUGGAGAUCCUAUAGGAAACACCUGUAUGUGUGUGUAUAUCAAUAAAUAACAAGCAUGUGUAAGAUAUGAAUAUAACUCGAAAGAUGAGGGAUGAGAUACAUACAAAGCCAAAACCACCUGUCUUGUAUGUUGGGCCAACCAUGACGUAUUUUGAACAGUAUUUGGCGAGGGAAAGCUUUAUAUAUGGUAUCUCAUCAAAAGCAGCAGCUAUACCACCAUUUGCACUCCCUUUUUUGAAAAGUUGAUCUAAUUCCUCAGAGGUGCUAUAUGCCAAAAGUCUGGAUUUAUCAAAGUUCAUACCUUGUAAAAGUUCAAAAACAAAUGAUCCAUUCUUGUAGCCCACAUUUUCUUUGUUUCUUAUAAGGUCGUUGACAUCUGUGAUGGCGGGUCGCAGCUCUUGGACUGUCAACAUGGAAGUAAGACUAGCUGUGUAGCUUUGCGUGAGUAUAAGAACCACGAAGAACCAUAUAAUCAGCAGAAACCUAGACAUGUUGCUUAUCACCUCUCCCUACAAAAUGAAAUCAAAGGAAAUUACGUGUAGAUUAGUGUAAUGAAUGUGUAAUGCUGGAAACAAUUAUAACUUACUUGAGCAAACACCAUUGUUGAGAAGGAAACCAGAUAUCAUGCCUACUUGAUGCCGAAGAGGCCCCUGAAUCUUCAUUAAUUCGAUGUUCAAGAAUCCAUAUAAGGAAGCCCAUGAAAACGAAUGAGCAAAAGCUUGUCAACCAAAGUUUCCAUGUCAGGGCUUUAAAAAUACCCAUGCUUUUGCUCUGUCUUUUUUUCGUACAACAUUGAAACACCAGACUCUGAUAGGCAGGGUGAAGUCGACAUACUUUGACCUAUUUGCUACGAUAGUUACAUCUCCAACUGCAGCAUCAAAUUCUGCCAGGAAUAAAAAAAGCUUAUGUUCUUAACUAAAAACAUACUAAAUGUGUGUUUUGUGGUUUUUGGAUCUUCAAAUCGUUAGUGGAAAAUAUACUUACCCCUUGGUAUACUGCAUAGACCAAUUCAUCAUAACUGCCGGCUUUCUUGUGGUCUGAUGUAGCAAAAGGAACAUACUCAUACUGCAUGCCAUAUGGUAGUGCUUCGAUCACCAUAUCAAAAACUUCCUUGCAGUAACCUUCCACUGUUGUAGAAUUGUUGGAGUUCCAAGUGACAUGCAUGAACUCAGAGAAACCAUAUCUUACAGGUACUCCUAUUCUCAACUUCUUCCCAUUGGUCGGAAUGACCCAACCCUUGGGUGGAACUUUCCCAUCACCUGGCCAUAUUAUUGAUCCGAUGUUGGACUUGGAUGUUGAGUAUGCAUUUGUGGUAGAUUUUGCAAAGUUGAGCUCUCUAACAAUUCCAUUAUCUUUUGUCCAAUAUCCUACAACUCGAGGUCCUGCACCAAUCACAUUGACUAUCUGGUAAGGAGGUGAUUGGAGUUGUCCGUCAACUAGUUAAAGUCUCCAGCAAGGCCUCUGAAAGUGUAUUGACAAUGCCUGAAUGAGAUCAGUUCCAACGCCUGAGACUCCAAAGCCUUCAAGAUCUGUUGAUGUUGUAGAGCCAUUUGCCUUCUUCAGAAAUGUAGCAUUUCUUAUUCUUGCCUUUUCUACUGCCAUUGCUAAUGCCACCGCAGAGUCAUAAGCCCAGAGUCCAAAGAUGUUCAAAUCCAGGUCAUGAUUUGUUGGGUUUUGCUGCUGAAGCUCUUUCUUGUAUCGGAAUGUGAAAUUGUCAAGCUCCUCCGAUUUCAGAAUAUAAGGUUUUACACCUAUAACUCCUUGCAUAUCUUCUUCCAUAACUGAACGAUCAAUUGAAGUUAACUCGUUUGUCAUGCCAUCAGUGAUGAUCCACGCGUAAUCUUCGCUCAUCAUUCCCAGUAGUUUAGCUUUGGUAAAUAGGCGAGAACCAAGACCUGUCAGCAUGUGGACAAUGAAAACUCUAGUUUGCAUUGUCAUAAGCUUGUAAAGCUCUGCAACAAUCUCAUCAUCUGUUGCUGAUGAUGGGAUGGCACUCCUGUAAGGUAUGCGCACAUUUACCUGUUCCAAGGCAUCUGCUAAAUAUGGUAUAAUCCCUUCUCCAAAUUCAUUGUCCACAUAGAUAGGCACAACUUCUCUCCAUCCAAAGGCUUGGACUAUUGCAGCUAUGGCCUUUACUUGGGAAGAGUCGCUUAAGGCAGCACGAACAAAGUAUGGACUUUGGAUUGACAAGAGAGACGGGCUUGUGGCUGAAA
rnacentral:lncRNA from 1 species